UGAUCCUGGCUCAGGACGAACGCUGUCGGUGCGCGUUAUGCAUGCAAGUUGAGCGAAGCUUUUCAGUAGUUUACUACAGAAAAUGACUGAGCGGCGAACGGGUGAGUAACGCGUGAGCAAUCUACCUUAGUUACUGGGAUAGCCCGAGGAAACUCGGAUUAAUACCGGAUAUUCUUAUUUUUUCACAUGAAGUUUUAAGGAAAGGUCAGCCGAACUAAGAUGAGCUCGCGUUCUAUCAGCUAGUUGGUGGGGUAAAAGCCUACCAAGGCAACGACGGAUAGAUGGUCUGAGAGGACGAUCAGCCACACUGGGACUGAGACACGGCCCAGACUCCUACGGGAGGCUGCAGCAGGGAAUAUUGUGCAAUGAGCGAAAGCUUGACACAGCGACACCGCGUGUGGGAUGACGGUUCUAGGAUUGUAAACCACUUUCAGGAGGGAAGAAAAUGACGGUACCUCCACAAGAAGACCCGGCCAACUAUGUGCCAGCAGCCGCGGUAAUACAUAGGGGUCAAGCGUUGUCCGGAUUUAUUGGGCGUAAAGAGCUCGUAGGCGGUUCAACAAGUCGGUCGUAAAAGUUUAGGGCUCAACCCUAAAAUGUCGAUCGAUACUGUUGUGACUAGGAUACGGUAGAGGUGAAUGGAAUUCCGAGUGUAGCGGUGAAAUGCGUAGAUAUUCGGAGGAACACCAAUUGCGAAGGCAGUUCACUGGACCGUGAUCGACGCUGAGGAGCGAAAGCUAGGGGAGCAAACAGGAUUAGAUACCCUGGUAGU
rnacentral:rRNA from 1 species